CGCUGGCGGCGUGCUUAACACAUGCAAGUCGAACGAGAAGGUGCUUGAAUUGGUUUCGACUGAGGAAAGUGCUGGGAAGUGGCGAACGGGUGAGUAACACGUAGAUGACCUGCCUUGGAGUGGGGGAUAACCACUGGAAACGGUGGCUAAUACCGCAUGGUUCUGCGAGUAUGGGAAUACUUGUGGAUAAAGUGUAUGGAAACAUAUAGCGCUCUAAGAGGGGUCUGCGUCCGAUUAGUUAGUUGGUGAGGUAAAGGCUCACCAAGGCGAUGAUCGGUAGCUGGUCUGAGAGGACGAUCAGUCACACGGGAACUGAGACACGGUCCCGACUCCUACGGGGGGCAGCAGUGAGGAAUAUUGCACAAUGGGGGCAACCCUGAUGCAGCAACGCCGCGUGGAGGAUGAAGGUCUUUGGAUUGUAAACUCCUUUUUUCGGGGAAGAGGAAGGACGGUACCCGAAGAAUAAGUCACGGCUAACUACGUGCCAGCAGCCGCGGUAAUACGUAGGUGGCAAGCGUUAUCCGGAAUUACUGGGCGUAAAGGGCACGCAGGCGGCAGUCAAAGUCCGACGUGAAAGCUCCUGGCUUAACUGGGAGAGGUCGUUGGAAACUUGGCAGCUUGAGGUGAUGAGAGGGGUGCGGAAUUACCGGUGUAGUGGUGGAAUGCGUAGAUAUCGGUAGGAACACCAGUGGCGA
rnacentral:rRNA from 1 species